ACGAACGCUGGCGGCGUGCCUAAUACAUGCAAGUCGAGCGGAAUGAUGAAGAAGCUUGCUUCUUCUGAUUUUAGCGGCGGACGGGUGAGUAACACGUGGGCAACCGACCUUGUAGAUUGGGAUAACUCCGGGAAACCGGGGCUAAUACCGAAUAAUCCAUUUUGCUUCAUGGCGAGAUGUUAAAAGGCGGCUUCGGCUGUCACUACGAGAUGGGCCCGCGGCGCAUUAGCUAGUUGGUAGGGUAAUGGCCUACCAAGGCGACGAUGCGUAGCCGACCUGAGAGGGUGAUCGGCCACACUGGGACUGAGACACGGCCCAGACUCCUACGGGAGGCAGCAGUAGGGAAUCUUCCACAAUGGACGAAAGUCUGAUGGAGCAACGCCGCGUGAGUGAAGAAGGUUUUCGGAUCGUAAAACUCUGUUGUAAGGGAAGAACACGUACGAGAGUAACUGCUCGUACCUUGACGGUACCUUAUUAGAAAGCCACGGCUAACUACGUG
rnacentral:rRNA from 1 species